rnacentral:rRNA from 1 species
UACGUAGGGGGCAAGCGUUGUCCGGAUUUAUUGGGCGUAAAGAGCGUGUAGGCGGUUAGGUAGGUCCGUUGUGAAAACUCGAGGCUCAACCUCGAGACGCCGAUGGAAACCAUCUGACUAGAGUCCGGAAGAGGAGAGUGGAAUUCCUGGUGUAGCGGUGAAAUGCGCAGAUAUCAGGAAGAACACCCGUGGCUAAGGCGGCUCUCUAGUACGUGACUGACGCUGAGGCGCGAAAGCGUGGGGAGCAAACAGG